rnacentral:rRNA from 1 species
AUUGAACGCUGGCGGCAGGCCUAACACAUGCAAGUCGAACGGCAGCACAGAAGAGCUUGCUCUUUGGGUGGCGAGUGGCGGACGGGUGAGUAAUGUCUGGGAAACUGCCCGAUGGAGGGGGAUAACUACUGGAAACGGUAGCUAAUACCGCAUAACGUCGCAAGACCAAAGUGGGGGACCUUCGGGCCUCACACCAUCGGAUGUGCCCAGAUGGGAUUAGCUAGUAGGUGGGGUAAUGGCUCACCUAGGCGACGAUCCCUAGCUGGUCUGAGAGGAUGACCAGCCACACUGGAACUGAGACACGGUCCAGACUCCUACGGGAGGCAGCAGUGGGGAAUAUUGCACAAUGGGCGCAAGCCUGAUGCAGCCAUGCCGCGUGUAUGAAGAAGGCCUUCGGGUUGUAAAGUACUUUCAGCGGGGAGGGAGGCGGUGAGGUUAAUAACCUUGCCGAUUGACGUUACCCGCAGAAGAAGCACCGGCUAACUCCGUGCCAGCCGCCGCGGUAAAAC